rnacentral:rRNA from 1 species
AGAGUUUGAUCCUGGCUCAGGACGAACGCUGGCGGCGNNNUUAACACAUGCAAGUCGAGCGGUAAGGCCCUUCGGGGUACACGAGCGGCGAACGGGUGAGUAACACGUGGGUAACCUGCCCCGUACACUGGGAUAAGCCUGGGAAACUAGGUCUAAUACCGGAUAUGACUUCGCACCGCAUGGUGUGGGGUGGAAAGUUCCGGCGGUACGGGAUGGACCCGCGGCCUAUCAGCUUGUUGGUGGGGUAAUGGCCUACCAAGGCGACGACGGGUAGCCGGCCUGAGAGGGCGACCGGCCACACUGGGACUGAGACACGGCCCAGACUCCUACGGGAGGCAGCAGUGGGGAAUAUUGCACAAUGGGCGAAAGCCUGAUGCAGCGACGCCGCGUGAGGGAUGACGGCCUUCGGGUUGUAAACCUCUUUCAGCAGGGACGAAGCGCAAGUGACGGUACCUGCAGAAGAAGCACCGGCUAACUACGUGCCAGCAGCCGCGGUAAUACGUAGGGUGCGAGCGUUGUCCGGAAUUAUUGGGCGUAAAGAGCUCGUAGGCGGUUUGUUGCGUCGGCUGUGAAAACCUACAGCCUAACUGUGGGCCUGCAGUCGAUACGGGCAGACUUGAGUUCGGCAGGGGAGACUGGAAUUCCUGGUGUAGCGGUGAAAUGCGCAGAUAUCAGGAGGAACACCGGUGGCGAAGGCGGGUCUCUGGGCCGAUACUGACGCUGAGGAGCGAAAGCGUGGGGAGCGAACAGGAUUAGAUACCCUAGUAGUCC